rnacentral:lncRNA from 1 species
CCAACCAAGCCACCUGCGUGCAGACACGGUGGUGGUCUUUGUUAGGUACGCAACUGCGACGGUCGGCUCCAUACUUAUAGAAAUAUAGAAUGGGGAAUCUUUUCUCUUCGAUAAUUUAUUUCCGUUGGAUCAGGUGAGGGGAUGGUUUCCCCUCCCCCGAACCCCCUCCCCUUCCUUAGGUUAUGGAACGUUACCCCCCCAAAGCCCCCCUCGGGGGGGAAUAGGAUAUUUAUUUUUACCGAUGAUAUGCCAGGGGGUUCCACCCCCGAACCCCCCGGUGUUCUCAAACGGCGAAGCCUUUCCUACCCGGUAUUGAAUCCCAUCCCUUACCUCAGAGAUGGCAUCCAAUACCUGACUUCCAUAACCAAACCAAACACCUAACGGAAUAAACAGCCCUGACUCUUAGACCAAUUCAAGCAACCUCACCGAAUCGAAGAAAAAAGGCUCCAUUCUUCUAUAAGGAGGUGAGACUAGAGCUGAAGUGCCCUCGCCCUUUGAGAGGAUUGAGCAGAUAACAUUAAGUAAGUGUUAAGUCGGGUCCUGGGAGGGGCUCUAUGAUUGUAUACCUCACCAAUUGAACAAUAAGAAAAUUCAGGGUCUGCUUGUGAAGCCUGGCUGCCACUCUUAGGGUCCGCUUAUGACGCACUCUUGGCCUGGUCUGCUUAUGAUGCACUCUUGGCCUAGUUUGCUUGUGAUGCACUUUUGGCUUAGCUCUUCUCAAUAGUGGCAUAUCUCAAAUAAACGAUCAACUUUCUCUUGAGCGAGCUCUUCAUAUAAACUUCCUUCUUGUGUGCUCGACUGACAUGAUAUGAGUAGAGACAUUUCCUCCUCUGCAACCUCAGUGGCCUUUACACAAUGUUCAAUAUAUAUCUGAAUUGUAUCAUGCCUAAUUGAUGAUCUUGAGCAUCUCAGUACAUCUUUAUCACCUUGCAAAGGUUUUAAACCAAG